rnacentral:rRNA from 1 species
UACGAAGGGGGCUAGCGUUGUUCGGAUUUACUGGGCGUAAAGCGCGUGUAGGCGGGUCGUUAAGUUGGGGGUGAAAGCCCGAGGCUCAACCUCGGAACUGCCUUCAAAACUGGCGACCUGGAGCAAGAUAGAGGCGAGCGGAAUUCCGAGUGUAGAGGUGAAAUUCGUAGAUAUUCGGAGGAACACCAGUGGCGAAGGCGGCUCGCUGGAUCUUUGCUGACGCUGAGACGCGAAAGCGUGGGGAGCAAACAGG